CUUCUUUUUUUUUUUUUUUUUUUGAGACGGAGUCUCGCUCUGUCGCCCAGGCUGGAGUGCAGUGGCGGGAUCUCGGCUCACUGCAAGCUCUGCCUCCCGGGUUCACGCCAUUCUCCUGCCUCAGCCUCCCAAGUAGCUGGGACUACAGGCGCCCGCCACUACGCCCGGCUAAUUUUUUGUAUUUUUAGUAGAGACGAGGUUUCACCGUUUUAGCCGGGAUGGUCUCGAUCUCCUGACCUCGUGAUCCGCCGCCUCGGCCUCCCAAAGUGCUGGGAUUACAGGCGUGAGCCACCGCGCCCGGCCACUUUUUUUAAAUGUAUGUAAAUAUCGAAGCUAUAUGGUAUGAUUUAUAAAGAUAAAUGGGCCAAAGUGUACAUUGAGACUGGCAGCCAUCUAUGGUACCACUGAAACCCUGACCCAGAAAAGUGGCUUGCUUGGACACCCAGCUGCCUUUGUUUCUGCAUUAAACCAAUAUUGAUCACACAUAUGACACAGGCUAGUCCUAUAAAAGUAAUGACUUCAUAGAAAUGGCAUUAUAAUUUUUAAGUUGAUACUCUACAGGUAGCUAUUGAUAUAAUUAGUUUUAAUAAAACAUGCUGCAACCAUGGUAUACAACAAAAAUACAUUUCUUUGGUGAUUGAAAUUAAGGCCGUAUUUACAAUGACUUAAUAUAAGACUGACUUUUAUCCUGCUUCAUAACUUGUAUGGAGAACUCACCAAGAAAGAAUUCAAUACUGUGAAAUAUGCAGCAAGAAGAUUGGUCUUUACCUAGGCUGUGUUUCCUAAGCUCUGAGUUUUCAGCACCAGUAGAUUUGUAUUAAAAGAAAAAAAAAUGGGGCCUUAGCUUCUGGCUUUUAAUUUUGCCAGCUAAGGACAUAAAACAAAAAUAAACAAACAAAAACAAAUAGCCAUCUGCUAUCAGCAUCAUUAUGUAAAAGAAAAUAUAUUUUAGCCCCUAAAAUUAGGAAGAAUGUAAUCUCAGAAUAAAGGUUGUCAUUUAAGUUGAAUAAAUAUAUAGCUUUA
rnacentral:lncRNA from 10 species